rnacentral:tRNA from 1 species
UCCCUUGUGGCUCAGCUGGUAAAGAAUCAACCUGCAAUGUGGGAGACCUAGGUUCGAUCCCUGGCUUGGGAA